rnacentral:rRNA from 1 species
CCUACGGGGGGCAGCAGUGAGGAAUAUUGGUCAAUGGGCGCGAGCCUGAACCAGCCAAGUCGCGUGAGGGAAGACGGCCCUACGGGUUGUAAACCUCUUUUGCCGGGGAGCAACGGGCGCCACGUGUGGCGCCACUGAGAGUACCCGGAGAAAAAGCAUCGGCUAACUCCGUCCCAGCAGCGGCGGUAAUACGGAGGAUGCGAGCGUUAUCCGGAUUUAUUGGGUUAAAGGGGUGCGUAGGCGGAGCGUUAAGUCAGUGGUAAAGUUUAGGGGCUCAACCCCUUCCCGCCAUUGAAACUGGCGCUCUUGAGUGGAAGAGAAGUAUGCGGAAUGCGUGGUGUAGCGGUGAAAUGCAUAGAUAUCACGCAGAACCCCGAUUGCGAAGGCAGCAUGCCGGCUUCCGACUGACGCUGAAGCACGAAAGCGUGGGGAUCGAACAGGAUUAGAUACCCUUGUAGUC